UACGGAGGUGCGAGCGUUGUCCGGAAUCACUGGGCGUAAAGGGCGCGUAGGUGGCCCGUUAAGUGGCUGGUGAAAUCCCGGGGCUCAACUCCGGGGCUGCCGGUCAGACUGGCGAGCUAGAGCAGCGGUAGGGGCGAAGAUGGAAUUCCCGGUGUAGCGGUGGAAUGCGUAGAGAUCGGGAGGAACACCAAUGGCGAAGGCAGCUCGCUGGGACGGUACUGACGCUGAGGCGCGAAAGCGUGGGGAGCAAACAGGG
rnacentral:rRNA from 1 species